GCUGACAAGGUCCUGGUGGCAACACAGUGGUAGCUGCACUCCUUGCAAGUCCCUACUAGCGUCUGUUGCUUCUGUUCUCUGGAACAUCUUUGAGCCUAGGAUCAGACACAAAGACUGAGCUCUGGGCCCAUGAUCCUAGUUUCUCUUUGAAGUAUGAGGCUGGUGACUGGAGUAACUGUUUUUCUUACCUUGGGGACUGUGACUGAUGCUAAGACCAUUCAGCCCAACUCCAUGGAUUGUGCUGAAGGAGAAGAUGCAAACUUACCUUGUAACCAUUCUACCAUCAGUGGAUAUGAUUAUAUACAUUGGUAUCGGCAAAAUUCCAACAAGAGUCCACAGUAUAUAAUUCACAGCUUACGAGACAAUGUGACCAACAACAUCGCCUCUCUGACCAUCGCAACAGACAGAAGGUCCAGCACUUUGAUCCUGCCCCAGGUCACUCUGAGAGACACUGCUGUGUACUACUGCAUGCUGAGAGAGGCACGUUGGGACAGAUGGGGCUGCACCUGUGCAAUAUCUCUCUGGAGAUGGGGUGAUGGGAGGCAGCAGCCAUCAGAGCAAAUCUAA